CAACCAAUCCAGCCCGGCUGGGUAUUGGGCGUCGCGGACCCCGCGCGCCUCAAAGUGACCGGCGGAAGCCGCCCGUUCCUCUGCGUGAUGCACAUCAAUCGCUUGGGAUACGGGGGUGAGCGCCCGUGAAACAUCGGCGGAGACGUCGACUCCA
rnacentral:misc_RNA from 3 species